AGUUGAAAUGCCGUCACACGCGAGCUCCCGUCGUGAUGAACAGCGGCCACUUUGCGACACAUAAAAUACGUUGGAGAGAAAUGACAAGCCGAUGUUCUGGAGCCAGCCCGACACGCUCUAGUGGAUGGACUUCGGUGUAAUGAGUGACAACUGCAUGCUAGUCAGUCUCACCAAAUCAACAGUGAAAACAGAGAGCUGAUCCGCGGGCCUAAUGGAAACCACUGGUCCUGCUCGUAUCUCAGGACGCCUCACAAACAGAUGUCCAGGGAUUACCCCAUCCCAGUGGAAAGAUGCAGGCUCUGUUUUUGUUUGUGAAUUUGCUUUACUUCCCUGAAAAUGUCAAGUAUUUUUAGACAAGACUGUGAUGAAAUGCUGAAUGAGUGGACAGCAGAGAACAUGCAUCAACACACUGGAAGUCUUCCGUUCUGGCAGCAGAUGAUGCUUCAUCUCACCAGGCCCCUGCUGGCAUAUGGCAUGGCUUUAUCUUCUCUUCAGUAUCGUAUAUAUUGUAUGAAUAGAAUUUUACCAUCCCAAGUAAAUAGGAUAAUUUUCUUGCAUAUUGUAUACAACAUAACACAGCUUCAUAUGAAUAUGUCCUGGAGUGGUCAACUAUAACCUAACCUCUUGUUAUUUCAUUCAUUUCAGGAUAUAUACUAUAUCCUAGAGCAUAACAUUACUGAAUUUCAUGAUAAAGUUGAAAAAAAUCAAACCACCAACAUGCA